ACACUCAACAAGGCAUAAGAGAAAGAAGAAAAACCCUAUUUGCUGCUUGGGAGAGGGAAGGUGAAAGAAAGCUCCACUUGAAGCAAAUUAGUUUAGCAAAUAAAUGGAUCGAAGCAGCAGCUCGAAAAUUGACCCAUCGGAAUUCAAGCCUGUGGGUUUAGAACUCGAGGUCUUGCAGAAAGAGGUCGAGGAAAAAACGAAGAAAAUUAAAGAGAUGAAGAAGGAGAUUGAAGCAAUAAAAAUGUGGUUGGAGGAGAAGAAAGGUUCAAGGGAAGAAAUAGAAAGUUUAAAGACAUUAUGUGAAGAAUACAACAGCUUGAGAAAGGAAUACUAUGAAACAUUGGGCAAUCAGACAAGGGAAUCCUAGGAAUUGACUAUAAUUAUUAGUGUCUAUUUGCAUGCAGUUUAAAUUAUU